GCUGCGGCCUGGGGGCGUGGCCGCAGUCACCCCGCAGGCACCGCCGCCUGCCCGCACUCCGCUCCCCGUUCCACGGCUGCAGCAGACGCCGUGGGCUGUGUGGGCAUCCGCUGCAGCCUGCUCCAGGCACAGACACUAGAGGUCGUUAUUGACCUCUAGUGUCUGUGCGGCAUUAUGGGAGAGACGUCAUUGACGUCUCUCCCAUAGAGAGUAGCGGGCGGCCAGACUGACGGAGCAGCAGCAGCAGCAGCAGCAGCAGAAGAAGCAGGAGCGGGGCAGUGGGCAGAGCAGACUGCAGCCAGAAAGGACUCACAUCCCACAUACAGUCCCUCCAGACCUCCAGUCCAUGGACCUAUCUGCUAACUCCGUCCAGUUCUUACAACCGCUCCCUGGGAGAUUUUCAGGUUUACUCCACCUCAACCUAUCAGGCGUAUCCUGGCAACGAUCCCACACGCCCCCGCAUGACGGCUCGGAGAGUGGGCAUCUGGUCAUGUGACCGCAGCUGAGACCGGAAGCCUGGAUCCCGGAAGCUGAACGGAGGUGCGGUGAAGACGGCUGGAGAGGCGCCAGAUUUGCGGGUAUAACACAGUUUACAGGAUGCAUUCAAAGCUACCCCAGCACAGACCUCAGAUGGCUGCCGCCUGAAGUUGCAUGGAUGGGAGAAGGAAAUGUCACUCUGGGAUCGUUCCUGGCUGUUUUAUUCUGUAACCAAUUAAUAUUUUAUGUGCAGAAAGGUUCAUUAAUGUGUAGUUCCCACAGAGUCUCCUGAUGUCCUCACAUUACUUGACACUUGCUCAGCCAUCUCUCACAAGUUCCUCUAGGCUAAUGUUGGGACAAGGGAAGUGACCUCACAGCCGGUAUAUUACACAGAACAUGAGGCAAAGGCAGCCGCCUGAGGCCGAGCUCCGAAUGUCUCAGCUGACUUCAGAAAAAGUAGAAUCCCCCACAAAAAAAAUAUUUGUAUUCUUAAAGCGAAUAUGGGGUCUAUUUAAUAAGCUCUAAAAUGCCUUCUCCAGAAAAUAAAGAGGCGGUAUUCUCUGGAUAUAUUAUGCUUUUUUGCACUUUUGAAAGGCCUCUUCCGGCGGUAGCCAUACCCAGCUAUAGCUUCCCCAUGUAAAGCAGGUAGUGUAGAUAUCUAUCACAUAUGUAACACCAGGGGAUGCUGAUAGUGAUGACUGACUAAGGCUAAAAUACUUUAUUUUUCUAUUGUCAAUUUGAAAAAUUCAUUUUAUUUAUUAUUUUUAAAAUAUAUUUAGGAGCCCAUUUAUCAAAUAGGUCCAAAAAGACCGAUUUCCUAUCUCCACUUAUUGCAGAAAUAGAACAUUUUCCGGGGUCCCUUCCCUUAUGUGCAUAAUAUAAAGAAACUUGUAUUGCGCUUCAGGGUAUUAGUGCUGUUAGAUGGUAGGAUAUGAUUGGCUGAGAGCAGUUUAUAUUCCUCUUCAGCCACAACGAACGCCCCCCACCCCCCAAUUCUUACUGCUGCUACCUGGAGAGAGUGAGAUCGAUAGGUUAUGCCUCCAUGGACCAUACAUGCAAUUUACUUAUUUUAACCUAGCGAUGAUAUAUA